rnacentral:lncRNA from 1 species
UUCUAGGAUCAGAUAAAAGCACCACCCCAGAAUUGAUCCUUCUUUUCUUCUUACUUUUACUAAGUCUGACUCUAGUUUCUCGUUCAACAAAAAGAAAAAGGAGUGUGAUUCUUUUAUUCCUAAUAUUUUUCAUCUCUUUCUUUUUCUAUUUUCUCCGGAUCUACUUACUUUCUCGCUUAGAUGUUCUUUUGGCUGAUCUUUUCUCUUUUGUUUUGGUUUUGAGUGUGGGGGGAGGGCAAGGACUUCCUCU